CGGAGGAGGAGAAUAAAAUUGAGAGUUGCGGGAGCCAAUCGAUCCACGAAGCGAGGUCAUGGUCUCCCUCUCGACGCCGUCCUUUACUAAUUAAGUGGAAGCAGAGGCUGAAGGUGCAAGUAUAAAGUUCUCGGUCGGCUUAAAGAAUCGGAAGAGGCAUAUCGUGAUGGCUUCGACUACGAGCUCUGAUUGCACUGCAGUUGCCUUCCUGUCGUGCUGGAUUUGGACUGUUGUAGUAUAGAAUGAGAAGUUGUAGUAUAGAAUGAGAAGAGCAAUUCUUUGUGACCUGUGGAUAGCAGUAUAGCCCCACUCAAAGCAAUUCUCUGCUGCAACGUAGAAGUAACCCCCAAUUUGAAUUUCCAGGUAACCACCAAAUCCUAAUUUGGAGAUUCUACUAAACAUAUUUAGAGUGCUAUGAUUAUUGUUUUGAUGUGCAGAACAAAUGGUAUGGUUAUGGCGUUUUGAUAUGUGUAAUCGUUGAAGGAAGGGAUGAUCUGUGUAAGAGAGUUGCUGUGUUGUUGUUUAUGUGAAUAUGUGUAUCCAAAUUGAAUACUAUAAUGUCCUUAUUAUGAUAAACAUUGUUGAGAUGAAAAUUUAUCAUCCAUAUGCGGAAGUUUUGGCUUUGAUUCAUGGAGGAAAGAUUUGCUAUCACAUCUGUAUAUUAACC
rnacentral:lncRNA from 1 species